rnacentral:rRNA from 1 species
UACGUAGGGGGCAAGCGUUGUCCGGAUUUAUUGGGCGUAAAGAGCGUGUAGGCGGUUUGGUAGGUCCGUUGUGAAAACUCGAGGCUCAACCUCGAGACGCCGAUGGAAACCAUCAGACUAGAGUCCGGAAGAGGAGAGUGGAAUUCCUGGUGUAGCGGUGAAAUGCGCAGAUAUCAGGAAGAACACCCGUGGCUAAGGCGGCUCUCUGGAACGCAACUGACGCUGAGACGCGAAAGCGUGGGGAGCAAACAGG